AACGUAGGAGGCGAGCGUUAUCCGGAUUUACUGGGCGUAAAGCGUGUGCAGGCGGUUGAGUAAGUUGGAUGUGAAAGCUCCUGGCUUAACUGGGAGAGGUCGUUCAAUACUACUUGACUUGAGAGUGGGAGAGGGAGGUGGAAUUCCGGGUGUAGUGGUGAAAUGCGUAGAUAUCCGGAGGAACACCAGUGGCGAAAGCGGCCUCCUGGCCCAUGUCUGACGCUCAUACACGAAAGCUAGGGGAGCGAACGGG
rnacentral:rRNA from 1 species